UUUCAGUUGAGAGCAGACAGGGAGGAUUGGGUGGAAAUUAUAAGGUCUCACUUGAAUGAAGCUGUGCCCCUGUUCUCAAUUCGGAUAAAUCUGUGAGAUCCCCCACCUCUCCUGCCAUUCACCUGCCCGGGCUCCACCUGCUCUGCUUCUUUGCAAAUGACCUGUCCCUCUGAUGUCAAUCACAAUGGCUUGCUUUUCCUUUACUAAACAUUUUGUGAAUUGAGAUUGGGUCCUCAUCUGGGGAUCAUCUGGGAAGUUAGAAAACACAGCAAUGCUCACUCUAAACGCAGGAUAUAACUGUAGACAUCAGCAAAUAUUUGUCCCUCACGUGUCCCAUCUGGGAGCGCAAGGCCUGCGGAGCUCACAUGUGGACAGAACGCACAUGGGCAUCAGUGAGGCCCCAGAUAUCAACCCUUGACCGCAUUCUCCUUCCCCAGCUCCCCUGUGCUUACCAGGGAUGAAGAGCAUUAGUAGCCCCAGCAGAUGAGCAGAGAUCCUCAUUGUGUGAAGCUGAACUGAGGACUCCUGAUCAGUGGAAUCAAGGUUAAAGCUGAGCUUUUAUCUCAGACCUGAAGAGAAGAUCUUGAGAGCAAUAUGCAAAUCCUUUGGUAGGUGCAGGGGAGGAGACAAACUGCUAGGUGAGG
rnacentral:lncRNA from 1 species